rnacentral:misc_RNA from 1 species
AUCAUAUAUCAAGAGAGGAGAAUUGGUUUUCUACCUCGUUUUGACUGAUCGUGGGCAGCACGCAGUUUGUUACUUUCUUGCGAUGCGUUUUCUUGUUUCUCGGAGCAAGUACGGAGGUAGCAAAUGCACGAGUGGUGCGAUGCACGUGUGCGCUGAGCCAAGUCCUCUUCCUACCCGGUUUGUGUCGUCGAACACUGCAUAGAAAAACGAAACUCGAUGGCGACCGUUUUGUGGAAAAUCCCGAAACUUUCGCACGUUGAACGGCGCUUGUUGACGUCGGUGCGUUGGAAAAACGGAGAUUUGAAACGGUUUCUUUUCGAUCGAUUCUGUUUUUCUUUUGGGCGUGGAUGUCGUUCGAAAGACCUUUGGGGACGGAUGAUGGACGGAGUUGGUUGGGCGUUGAAACGCGGCGUCUGCAAUGAAUCUUGUGGCGUUGAUUUUGCAACACACUUCUUGCUGGGGAGAGAACGAGUACGUUUCUGGGAGGAAAGUGACUUUUUUUGCGUCGUAGCCUUCCGUCAGUCUAAGACCUUCGCGUCCCCGAUGAAUACUGGAGCCAUCCAGUAGGGGUAUGCCGUUGGAUUGCGCGCUUUCUUUUUUGUCGAAUCGAGAGCGAUGCAUAGCGUGUGUACAACUCAUUUUUUUUCGCCAUCCUUUUUUUGUUGGUAAGGAGGCGAAAUUUUUAUUGUGUUGGAAAGCGCAAAAAAAAAGAUUCGAUUG